GAUGAAUAACGUAGCGAAAUGCGAUACUUGGUGUGAAUUGCAGAAUCCCGUGAACCAUCGAGUCUUUGAACGCAAGUUGCGCCCGAAGCCAUUAGGCCGAGGGCACGCCUGCCUGGGCGUCACACGUCGUUGCCCCCCAUCUACUCCUUCGGGAUUGCGGGGGGCGGAUGAUGGCCUCCCGUGCGCCUCGUCGCGCGGUUGGCAUAAAUGCCAAGUCCUCGGCGACGCACGCCACGACAAUCGGUGGUUGCGAAACCUCGGUUGCCCGUCGUGUGCGGUCGUCGCGCAUCGAGGGCUCGAAAAAAUUGCCGGGCUCCGGCUCGGCUUUCAACGCGACCCCAGGUCAGGCGGGGUUACCCGCUGAAUUUAAGCAUAUCAAUAAGCGGAGGA
rnacentral:misc_RNA from 1 species